UUGGCCAGUUUGAAGGUUUUUUAACAAGUGUAAUGGCAUGAAUGUGUUGAAUUAGUACUCCCUUGUGUUAAGCCGUUGUUUUAGUUUUCUUUUGAUGAGUUUGGCUUGUUGUUAUGAAAAGUGUUUGUUUUGGCGAGUUUGAACGUUUUUGAGCAUGUGUAAUGGCAUGAAUGCGUUAAGCUGUUGUUUUAGUGUUCUUUUGAUGAGUUUGGCUUGUUGUUAUGAAAAGUGUUCGUUUUGGCCAGUUUGAAGGUUUUUGAGCAUGUGUAAUGGCAUGAAUGUGUUGAAUUAGUAAUCCCUUGUGUUAAGCCGUUGUUUUAGUGUUCUUUUGAUGAGUUUGGCUUGUUGUUAUGAAAAGUGUUUGUUUUGGCGAGUUUGAACGUUUUUGAGCAUGUGUAAUGGCAUGAAUGCGUUAAGCUGUUGUUUUAGUGUUCUUUUGAUGAGUUUGGCUUGUUGUUAUGAAAAGUGUUUGUUUUGGCGAGUUUGAACGUUUUUGAGCAUGUGUAAUGGCAUGAAUGCGUUAAGCUGUUGUUUUAGUGUUCUUUUGAUGAGUUUGGCUUGUUGUUAUGAACAUUGUUCGUUUUGGCCAGUUUGAAGGUUUUUGAGCAUGUGUAAUGGCAUGAAUGUGUUGAAUUAGUAAUCCCUUGUGUUAAACUGUUGUUUUAGUGUUCUUUUGAUGAGUUUGGCUUGUUGUUAUGAAAAGUGUUUGUUUUGGCGAGUUUGAACGUUUUUGAGCAUGUGUAAUGGCAUGAAUGCAUUAAGCUGUUGUUUUAGUGUUCUUUUGAUGAGUUUGGCUUGUUGUUAUGAAAAGUGUUUAUUUUGGCGAGUUUGAACGUUUUUGAGCAUGUGUAAUGGCAUGAAUGCGUUAAGCUGUUGUUUUAGUGUUCUUUUGAUGAGUUUGGCUUGUUGUUAUGAAAAGUGUUUGUUUUGGCGAGUUUGAACGUUUUUGAGCAUGUGUAAUGGCAUGAAUGCGUGAAGCUGUUGUUUUAGUGUUCUUUUGAUGAGUUUGGCUUGUUGUUAUGAACAUUGUUCGUUUUGGCGAGUUUGAACGUUUUUGAGCAUGUGCAUGAAUGUGUUGAAUUAGUAAUCCCUUGUGUUAAGCUGUUGUUUUAGUGUUCUUUUGAUGAGUUUGGCUUGUAGUUAUGAACAUUGUUUGUUUUGGCGAGUUUGAACGUAUUUGAGCAUGUGUAAUGGCAUGAUGCGUUAAGCUGUUGUUUUAGUGUUCUUUUGAUGAGUUUGGCUUGUUGUUAUGAAAAGUGUUUGUUUUGGCGAGUUUGAAUGUUUUUGAGCAUGUGUAAUGGCAUGAAUGCGUUAAGCUGUUGUUUUAGUGUUCUUUUGAUGAGUUUGGCUUGUUGUUAUGAACAUUGUUCGUUUUGGCCAAUUUGAAGGUUUUUUACCAUGUGUAAUGGCAUGAAUGUGUUGAAUUAGUAAUCCCUUGUGUUAAACUGUUGUUUUAGUGUUCUUUUCAUGAGUUUGGCUUGUUGUUAUGAAAAGUGUUUGUUUUGGCGAGUUUGAACGUUUUUGAGCAUGUGUAAUGGCAUGAAUGCGUUAAGCUGUUGUUUUAGUGUUCUUUUGAUGAGUUUGGCUUGUUGUUAUGAAAAGUGUUUGUUUUGGCGAGUUUGAACGUUUUUGAGCAUGUGUAAUGGCAUGAAUGCGUUAAGCUGUUGUUUUAGUGUUCUUUUGAUGAGUUUGGCUUGUUGUUAUGAAAAGUGUUUGUUUUGGCGAGUUUGAACGUUUUUGAGCAUGUGUAAUGGCAUGAAUGCGUUAAGCUGUUGUUUUAGUGUUCUUUUGAUGAGUUUGGCUUGUUGUUAUGAACAUUGUUCGUUUUGGCCAGUUUGAACGUUUUUUGAGCAUGUGUAAUGGCAUGAAUGUGUUGAAUUAGUACUCCCUUGUGUUAAGCCGUUGUUUUAGUGUUCUUUUGAUGAGUUUGGCUUGUUGUUAUGAAAAGUGUUUGUUUUGGCGAGUUUGAACGUUUUUGAGCAUGUGUAAUGGCAUGAAUGCGUUAAGCUGUUGUUUUAGUGUUCUUUUGAUGAGUUUGGCUUGUUGUUAUGAAAAGUGUUUGUUUUGGCGAGUUUGAAGGUUUUUUAACAUGUGAAAUGGCAUGAAUGUGUUGAAUUAGUAAUCCCUUGUGUUAAGCUGUUGUUUUAGUGUUCUUUUGAUGAGUUUGGCUUGUUGUUAUGAAAAGUGUUUGUUUUGGCGAGUUUGAACGUUUUUGAGCAUGUGUAAUGGCAUGAAUGCGUUAAGCUGUUGUUUUAGUGUUCUUUUGAUGAGUUUGGCUUGUUGUUAUGAAAAGUGUUUGUUUUGGCGAGUUUGAACGUUUUUGAGCAUGUGUAAUGGCAUGAAUGCGUUAAGCUGUUGUUUUAGUGUUCUUUUGAUGAGUUUGGCUUGUUGUUAUGAAAAGUGUUUGUUUUGGCGAGUUUGAACGUUUUUGAGCAUGUGUAAUGGCAUGAAUGUGUUGAAUUAGUAAUCCCUUGUGUUAAAGCUGUUGUUUUAGUGUUCUUUUGAUGAGUUUGGCUUGUUGUUAUGAAAAGUGUUUGUUUUGGCGAGUUUGAACGUUUUUGAGCAUGUGUAAUGGCAUGAAUGCGUUAAGCUGUUGUUUUAGUGUUCUUUUGAUGAGUUUGGCUUGUUGUUAUGAAAAGUGUUUAUUUUGGCGAGUUUGAACGUUUUUGAGCAUGUGUAAUGGCAUGAAUGCGUUAAGCUGUUGUUUUAGUGUUCUUUUGAUGAGUUUGGCUUGUUGUUAUGAAAAGUGUUUGUUUUGGCGAGUUUGAACGUUUUUGAGCAUGUGUAAUGGCAUGAAUGCGUUAAGCUGUUGUUUUAGUGUUCUUUUGAUGAGUUUGGCUUGUUGUUAUGAACAUUGUUUGUUUUGGCGAGUUUGAACGUUUUUGAGCAUGUGUGUGGCAUGAAUGUGUUGAAUUAGUAAUCCCUUGUGUUAAGCUGUUGUUUUAGUGUUCUUUUGAUGAGUUUGGCUUGUUGUUAUGAACAUUGUUUGUUUUGGCGAGUUUGAACGUUUUUGAGCAUGUGUAAUGGCAUGAAUGCGUUAAGCUGUUGUUUUAGUGUUCUUUUGAUGAGUUUGGCUUGUUGUUAUGAAAAGUGUUUGUUUUGGCGAGUUUGAAUGUUUUUGAGCAUGUGUAAUGGCAUGAAUGCGUUAAGCUGUUGUUUUAGUGUUCUUUUGAUGAGUUUGGCUUGUUGUUAUGAACAUUGUUCGUUUUGGCGAGUUUGAACG